rnacentral:rRNA from 1 species
CCUACGGGAGGCAGCAGUAGGGAAUAUUGCUCAAUGGGGGAAACCCUGAAGCAGCAACGCCGCGUGGAGGAUGAAGGUUUUCGGAUUGUAAACUCCUUUUGUUAGAGAAGAUAAUGACGGUAUCUAACGAAUAAGCACCGGCUAACUCCGUGCCAGCAGCCGCGGUAAUACGGAGGGUGCAAGCGUUACUCGGAAUCACUGGGCGGAAAGAGCGCGUAGGCGGGAUAGCAAGUCAGAUGUGAAAUCCUAUGGCUUAACCAUAGAACUGCAUUUGAAACUGUUAUUCUAGAGUAUGGGAGAGGUAGGUGGAAUUCUUGGUGGAGGGGUAAAAUCCGUAGAGAUCAAGAGGAAUACUCAUUGCGAAGGCGACCUGCUAGAACAUAACUGACGCUGAUGCGCGAAAGCGUGGGGAGCAAACAGGAUUAGAUACCCUAGUAGUC